GGGUCAGUAGGUUGGUCGUGCCACCGGUACGUACUGGUCUCACUGAUUCCUCCUUCCUGAAGAACCGUAAUGCCAUUAAUUUGGUGUUGCGGGGAAACAGGACUGUUACUUUGAAAAAAUUAGAGUGUUUAAAGCAAGCUAACGCCUGAAUACAUUAGCAUGGAAUAAUGAAAUAGGGCGAUCGAUCCUAUUUUGUUGGUUUCUAGGAUUGACGUA
rnacentral:rRNA from 1 species